GUUUUUACAGCUACAUAUUUACUUCAACCGUUACCAAAACCAUCGUGUCCACAAACGACCUCAUGGAUGAAGUGCUGGGGGUGGGGUAAAGCAAACCUGUGAGUCAAAAACAAGUACUAGGACCUGACCCAGACAGUUCACAAAUCACUCACACCAGAGAAACACAGGCGUAGAGGCUGAUCCCCAGAAGGAGGUGGUACAGUCAAGCUUCUGAAACCCCGCGGCUGUCGGGGUCGGAGGGUUGCGCUGGGUCUCACCUUCUUGCCCCCUUUCAGGUCACUCAGGUGUCACUCACAAGGCUUCAUCAAAUGCACCCCAUGAGUGUGGAUGACUCCAGAGAAAACCUUCUGAGGGUUUCCAGAGACGCAUUUUUGCUCCUUCAGAGUAAUGGGAACAAGGGGUCACUCUGCUUCACGAUAAGGCAGUGACCCCACAUGCGUGUGCAGGUGAAACUGCUUUCUCUCUGGCCAGGAUAAAAGAGGAGGCUUACAGCCCUCCACCCAGCACCAGCAGUUGGCGACAGGGCUACGCGUUUGCCAGGGCUACGCGUUUGCCAGGACAGGACCCACUUGCACACACAGUUGUGUCAAGAGCUCUCUGCCUUGCAUGUCUAAUUAUAACAGAAAAGCACAAAUUCAGGGGAACAUUCUUCUGGUGUAUUUUUCCCACCUGUUACACAGUUCUGGUUCAGGACCAUGGCGACCUGGGCACAGGACUCCUCCAUCCUCCACCUGCAACAUGGCAAAGCCAUCUCAUGGUGAGCCUGAAAGAGAGUGUGGUGGGGGACAGAGAGGAGGAAGCCCGUCCCCAGCUGUUUUCUGUGGAACUCUGGAUACUUUUGUCUUCUGUAGAGAACGAGGAUGAACUUGACAAAAAAUCCAGAAAGGUUGCUGUGGAUGGGGCACUGCAGGCCAUUCUCCCAGGGAGUUGGUCCCACUCUGACCAUCUUCUUCCCUGCUCUGGGAGGGAAUGGAGGGCCUCCGUGUAAGCAAACACCGUCGGGCUGUGCGUGUGUGAGACAAUGUGUGCCAAAUGCAAUCUCAUCAACCCAUCUGCCCUUCGACACCCGGGAGCUUGUCCAAGCAGAGAGAAAACAUUCAUCCAGAGUUUAGCAAAUAAUGCCAUCAAUUGAAACACGUUUACUUCCACUGAGAUGUCUUUAAAAGCAGAGUGAUUUUAAAAUAAUGGUUGGUUUUAAACUGCUUAUUUAGGUGUCACGAGUGCAUUUCAGUGGGAGUUUUUUGUUGUUGUUGUCGUUUUGUUUUUUAAGACAGAGUCUCGCACUGUCACCCAGGCUGGAGUGCAGGGAUGUGAUAUUGGCUCACUAAAACCUCCGCCUCCCAGGUUCAAGUGAUUCUUGUGCCUCAACCUCCCAUGUAGCUGGGAUUACAGGCAUGCACCACCACAUUCUGCUAAUUUCUGUAUUUUGGACAGAGUUUUGCCACGUGGUCCAGGCUGGUCUUAAACUCUGGACCUCAAGUGAUCCUCCCGCCUCAGCCCAUGGAGUAGAUGGGACCACAGGAGCGCGCCACCACGCCCGACUACUUGCUGUAAUUUUUGUAGGGAUGGGGUCUAGCCACGCUGCCCAGGCUGGUCCGCACUGCUGGGCUCAAGAGCUCCGCCCGCCUCCGCCUCCCAAAGCGCAGGGAUCACAGGUGUGAGCUACCGCGCCCCGCCCAGAGUUUCCGACUGUUAGCGUGAAUCAUAUUCACGUCAAAACUUCUUUUUAUACAAGAACUAAAAGGCAAACUAAAUCCCUGCUCCAUCACUGCCUGUCCCGGGUCGCGGCGCGGGACAUUUUCUCCAAGCGCCUUCCCGCCCCGCGCGCAGGUGGCCUGCGCCGGAGGAUCCCGGACAACGCGCAUUUCCUGCGCCCCCGGAAGUGGCGGUAACGCCAGGCCCUGCCCCCGGCAGAGGCGGAAGCGCAGUCGCCCUGAGAGGUCUCCCGCGGCCGCAGGGUUGAUAAAGACAGGAGUGGAGUGAUAUCGGACGCCGAGCUUCAGCAAGCUGUCUCCAACGGAUGAAGCCCCACCGGCCGUACAGGAUGCAAAGCCCUCCUCUAUAAAGUGCGUGCGGGGCCAGAUGCAGUGGCUCACGUCUGACCUCCCAACACUUUGGGAGGCCGAGGCAGGGGGAUCGCUUGAGCCCAGGAGUUUGAGACCAGCCUGGGCAACAUUGUGAGACCCUGUUCCUUGAAUUGCCCUGGGAGAUUUCCUCAGCUUGUACUGGAGGCGUGUGGCCCCAUGAAGCCCGUAGUCACCGUUCAUCCUGAGAGACGCUGGCUUUGGGGCUCACACGCCUGCUGCGGGGCAGCCCCAGGAGAUGGCCACCCUGUUUCUCCUGGAGCUGGAGCUGCGCGUGUUCUCAGCAACUGUGGUGGCUGUUCUGUUUUGUUUGCAUCUUAUAAACGUUUACCUGAUUACAUUUUCCUCUUCAAUUUAGCUGCUAGAAAACUUAAAGUCAGAUUGGUGGCUUGCCAGUAAUGAGAGUUUAGAGUAGAGGUAAACUUUAUGACAUAGUCUUAGACUCUUCACUUUCUCCUCAGCCAACAUGAUUCACAUUUACUUUAUUUUGCUGUACUGUGAGUGUCUUUGUGUUUUCUGAAUUCCUUCUGGAAUAAGGCAGGUUGUUAGUAAGCACAGGUUUCUGGUCCAUCUCAUAGCCUCAGGCAGUGGGCGGUGCUGUCCGUGCUCCCUUUCUGGGUUACCUGUGGUAGCUCUGAAGUUGCAGGGCUGCGAUUUGAAGCCUGAUUUAGUACACCGUGUUCCUGUUGUGUUCUGUGGUGGUUUGCUCCUCACAUGUGAGCAUUCACCCUGUGGCCCUGUGUUUUUCCACCACACCUCUGCCUGGUGGCAUCCUACUGGGUGUCUCAGCCGAGCCACUCUGUUCUGAAGAAGCCCUUGUCCUCCACCCCUUUGCUUUGGGCUCUGAGCUGCUUGUGCCUUUCAUCUCUGUAGGAUGAAGCCCCACCCACCCUUCAGGAUGCCUGCCUUGGCAACGUUGUGAGACCCUGUUUCUACAAAAAGUAAACGUGUAGUGGUGCACGCUUGUAGUUCCAGCUACUUGGGAGGCUGAGAUGGGAAGAUCACUUGAGCCUGGGAGGUUGAGGCUGCAUUGAGCUGAGAUCAAGCCACGGCACUCCAGCCUGGGAGACAGAGCGAAACCCCACCUCAAAAAAACAAAGAAAGCGGAUGCGCGCUGCUCCUGCCAUUGGAUCAUCGCAGCAUUUUUCUUUUCUCUGAUGUGUGCCUUUUUCCUCACCGUGGGGCUCAUGUUUUCGUAGUUCCCUCUCGCUACUAGAUUGUGAGCUGCAUGAAGGAAAGUUCAUAGUUGUGUUAUAUGUACAGGCACACAAAAUUUGUCCUUGGAUAGACACAUAUCAAUCUGCUUCCUUCUCCUCUCUGAAUUUCUUUAUUUAAAAAAAAAAAAUUA